rnacentral:rRNA from 1 species
CGGAGGAUCCAAGCGUUAUCCGGAUUUAUUGGGUUUAAAGGGUGCGUAGGCGGCCAAUUAAGUCAGGGGUGAAAGACGGUAGCUUAACUAUCGCAGUGCCCUUGAUACUGAUGAGCUUGAAUAUACUUGAGGUAGGCGGAAUGUGACAAGUAGCGGUGAAAUGCAUAGAUAUGUCACAGAACACCAAUUGCGAAGGCAGCUUACUAAGGUAUGAUUGACGCUGAGGCACGAAAGCGUGGGGAUCAAACAGGAUUAGAUACCCUGGUAGUCCACGCCCUAAACGAUGAACACUCGAUGUUGGCGAUAUACGGUCAGCGUCAAAGCGAAAGCGUUAAGUGUUCCACCUGGGGAGUACGCCCGCAAGGGUG